rnacentral:lncRNA from 1 species
UUUAGAGAGAGAGAGAGAUAGUCAAUUAGUGAGAGAAGAAGAGAAAGAAAGGAAAAACGGUAAAGAAGGAAACAUCGAGGUUUUGGUAAGGAAUGUAGUAUUACUUUUGGUGUCUUAAGGAGUAUUUUUUAGAUAAAAAAAUUUAAUAUGAUAGUUAUUUUACCUAUUUUGCAUACCUCUGUAUUCAAAUGAGUCGAAUUGUUCUGAUUUGCAAGCAUGCUGUGUGAUUUACUGACACUUGAUGAAUUUGUAUAUAAUAAAAGUAAUAUGUAGCCCAUGAUAAUAAAAGUAAAAUAAAAGAAAAAGAAAAAAAAAGUGAAAUGAAGCCUAUAUGGUCCAAAGUGUAUUUGUAUUGACAUGUAUAUUGCAUCAAGUGUCUCGUUAGACUUUUUAU